GUGAGGAAUAUUGGUCAAUGGGCGCAAGCCUGAACCAGCCAUGCCGCGUGCAGGAAGACGGUCCUAUGGAUUGUAAACUGCUUUUAUUUGGGAAUAAACUCCGGUACGUGUACCGGCCUGAAGGUACCAAAUGAAUAAGCACCGGCUAACUCCGUGCCAGCAGCCGCGGUAAUACGGAGGGUGCAAGCGUUAUCCGGAAUCAUUGGGUUUAAAGGGUCCGCAGGCGGUAUUAUAAGUCAGUGGUGAAAGCCUACAGCUCAACUGUAGAACGUACAUUGAGACUGUAAGACUUGAAUUCGGACGAAGUGGGCGGAAUGUUUAAUGUAGCGGUGACAUGCUUAGAUAUGUCACAGAACCCAGAUAGCGAAGGCAGCUCUCUAGGUCCGUAUUGGCGCACAGGGACGCAAGCGUAGCAAGCAAACAGGAUUAGAUUCCCUUGUAGUCC
rnacentral:rRNA from 1 species